rnacentral:rRNA from 1 species
AGUGAACGCUGGCGGUAGGCCUAACACAUGCAAGUCGAACGGCAGCACAGUAAGAGCUUGCUCUUACGGGUGGCGAGUGGCGGACGGGUGAGGAAUACAUCGGCAUCUACUUUUUCGUGGGGGAUAACGUAGGGAAACUUACGCUAAUACCUCAUACGACCUACGGGUGAAAGCAGGGGAUCUUCGGACCUUGCGCGAUUGAAUGAGCCGAUGUCGGAUUAGCUAGUUGGCGGGGUAAAGGCCCACCAAGGCGACGAUCCGUAGCUGGUCUGAGAGGAUGAUCAGCCACACGGGAACUGAGACACGGUCCAGGCGCCUACGGGAGGCAGCAGUGGGGAAUAGUGGACAAUGGGCGCAGGCCUGAUCCAGCCAGACCGCGUGGGUGAAGAAGGCCUUCGGGUUGUAAAGCCCUUUUGUUGGGAAAGAAAAGCAGCAGGUUAAUACCACGCGGUUCUGACGGUACCCGAAGAAGAAGCACCGGCUAACUUCGUG